GAUAAAAACCCAGAAUUAUUAACAUCUUCAUCUCUUCAUCUUUCUCAUCUCCAUAUAUUCAUCAUCCCUAAAAUUAAAAUUCCUAAAUUCACUUUCAACUUUAAUUCUCAUUAAACCUAAAAUUCAAAACUCUUUCAUCUCUUUUCUUCAAAUUGAUUUACUCCCUCCUUCAUCAUAUCAACACCAUCGUUCACCACAACCACCACCACUGUCCUCACCCAACAUCAUCAUCGGUGGAUUCAUCAUCAUCAUUAAUCAUAGGGAGAUAUUUAUAGCGAUUUUGGUUUCUGCAAUUUUGGAAUUCUUCAUUUAUAAUCAUUUGCUGCGAUUCUGAUUUUUAUUUUUUUUUGCUUAGUUUACAGUUUUGUUUUUUUGUCUAAAUUUGUGGGUUUGUUUAUAUUUGGAGAGGAGAAAGAUGAAGAUGAAGUUCAUAAGGGUAACAAUGAUGAAAAUCAAGUUGAUAUUGAUGUUGUUAAUGUGCCUAUGUUUGUAUUCUAUACCCCUUCCUUCACUUCCAUUCUCUCUGCAAUUUUCAGUUUGCAGUUUUUUUUUUCUCAUUUCAGAUUUUUAUUUUCUAUUAGUUAAUUAAUGUAAGUAUUCUUUUUAUUAAUAAAAUUAAUAAAAUAUGAUAUGCUGACA
rnacentral:lncRNA from 1 species